UUUAAAUUUGGCAGGACCUGGAACCUUCCAAUAUGCAAAGUAGUAGUUCCAGACUUACCUACAGUGAUCUAUGCCAUCAAAUACCUGAAUCCAAGUUUAGGCAAUGUUUAUUGACAACACUAGCUGCCCUUUUUAAGUUGAUGAGUUCAUAUCAAGCAGUCAUGAGCUUUCAACUAGCGGAUAAGGUAAUGACAAAUCAGGAGGCAGUGGAGUGCAUUAGGAACAUAA